GACGAACGCUGGCGGCGUGCCUAAUACAUGCAAGUCGAGCGGAAGUUGAAGAGCUUGCUCUUCAACUUUAGCGGCGGACGGGUGAGUAACACGUGGGCAACCUGCCCUGCAGAUCGGGAUAACUCCGGGAAACCGGUGCUAAUACCGAAUAGUUUUCGCCACCUCCUGGUGGCGUACGGAAAGACGGUUUCGGCUGUCACUGCAGGAUGGGCCCGCGGCGCAUUAGCUAGUUGGUGGGGUAACGGCCCACCAAGGCGACGAUGCGUAGCCGACCUGGGAGGGUGAUCGGGCACACUGGGACGGAGACACGGCCCAGACUCCUACGGGAGGCAGCAGUAGGGAAUCUUCCGCAAUGGACGAAAGUCUGACGGAGCAACGCCGCGUGAGUGACGAAGGUUUUCGGAUCGUAAAACUCUGUUGUGAGGGAAGAACAAGUACCACUUAACUACUGGUACCUUGACGGUACCUCACCAGAAAGCCACGGCUAACUACGUGCCAGCAGCCGCCGCAGUAA
rnacentral:rRNA from 1 species